ensembl:lncRNA
GGGGAGUGGCUGAAUGGUGAGGUGGAGGCGGGGUGAGUGGAAUACUGAGGGGCAGCAGGUGAGGAGAGAAGAAGACUGACACAAAUAAGCCAAAACAAUCAGUUGCAUGAAGAGAUCCUCAUCAGUGGCUCUCACACAUCAAACAGCCUCAGAGGAAGGACCGAGUGGCACUGUUGGGGAGGAAGGGAGUUCAAAGAUGAAUGGCCCCACGUCUGCUUUUAACCUGGUGGUGUUGUGUAUAUAUACACUGUCGUCAGUGUGUGGAGUGCACGUGUACAAGCAGCGUGGAGAAAUACGGACAGCACAGGAGAAAGAGAGCAUGAAGAAAGAGAACAAGUUGGAGUUGAGAAGGAGAAGGAGAGCAUUAAAGCCCUGCAGGAAAAUGCAGUUAAAUGCUGCAAAAUUACAGAUAUGUUCACAAGCAAGGAACAUGGAUAAGAGUGUACAGCCAUCAAGUGGCAACCUCCGGGUCCGAAAAAUAAAGCCAAUGCAGAAAUGCCUUAAACCUGCAUUCUCCCUAAUGUCCAGCCGGGGGCAACUCCACUUGAUGCAAAAAUAAAU